UAGCUUUUUCUCUGUUGUUCUCGCCGCUUUCACGCAUUUUGGCCCUCCUUUUGUUUGUCUCUGAAACCUUAAUUUUUCUUUUUCUCUGUUGUUCUCGCCGCUUUCACGCAUGUUGGCCCUCCUUUUGUUUUAUCUGAAACCCUAAUUUUUUUUUCCCUUCCCCAUUUUUCUUAUCUCACUGUUUCUCAAGUCGCUGAUUCCGCCCUUCUCUUCUCUCGCUCUCAAGCGUUCAGCAUCUCACGCUCUCAAGCGUUCAGCGUCUCUCGCUCUCAAACCUCGCCGAUCCGUCGAAACCCAUAUUCCUCAGCGUUUCCUCAAAAUCCAAGGUCGUGAUUGAGGGAGCUUGAAAUGGCAAUUGGAAUUAAGGUCAUAAUACAUAGUAAGUGUUUGGUUUUUUCUUCUGCUACAAAGUAGAAGUUGAGAAGUCCCGUUUUUAUGUUUACUCAUCUUUCAAGAUAGUUUACGGAAUAUAUGAUGUUUUUUUCUUUAAAUUUCUAUUGCAAGGUGGCGAUUUCAAUGCCACCACAAGAUAUGGCUUUUGAGCCAAUAUACUGGUAUUGACAACCAGAAGCUAAUGGAGUGGGCAGCCAAGAUAUGGUUUUCCUGCAUUUGUAUAUGUUUGUGGAUCCAGCCUUUGACUGAAAAACAUCAUAAGAUAAAGAAGUCCCCAUAUUUUUAUGUUUACUUUUCAAGAUAGUAUUACGGAAUGUAUGUUUUUUUAUUUUUAAUUAUUUUUAAUUUUAUUUCUGCUACAAAGUGGCAAUUUCAAUGUCACCACAACAUAUGGCUUUUGAGCCAAUAUACUGGUAUUGCCAAUAGAAGCUAAUGGAGUGGGCAACCAAGAAAUACAGCAAUUUUAGUCUUAGUCUUACUUGUUUCAUUGGUGUAUUUGUACCCUUUUUUGUAUUGUGAAUCAGGCAAAAUUGAACCGCCACCUCAUGUGCCGCAGCUGCAUCAAAGGCUGGUUCUCCAACGACGUUGUUUUCUAGAGCUCUCUCUACGCAAGAAACGUCAAUAUCUAUCAUCUGGUCCUCUGAAGGGGGAGUGCCUAUCAAUUUCAAAAACUAGAAAGCAACUCAUAUAAAAGUCAUAAUAGCUGCUUUCUUACUUCCAAGGUUUGUGUUCGUUUGCCCAGAUGCUAUUUCGAAGCUGGAGUAGGCAUUGUUGAUGAAUCCUAGGAAAGAUGAUGCUCUGUGGUGUUUUGGAAAUGCUCAAACUGCUGCGGAUUAUGUACUCCGGACCAGAAUGAGGCAAGAGUUUAUUCCCAAAAGGUGUCUGAUGAGGAGUCGGGUGAUUUUGAAUCUGUAUAUUAUGCUUACCGUCGAAAUUUGAGUGGUUGCUCAGUUUGAAUUUACUAUCAGCUUAAGCUCAAUAUUCACUCGCUUAAGUGAAUGGCUCUUGAACUGAAAACAAGAGAAUUCGAGUCCAUCAGUAGCGAACUUCUGACACUUGCAUGACUUUUUGAACAGAAAAUGAGAAGAGAGAAUUCAGCGUGUAGAAUUUGGCUCUCUUCAAAUGUCAGAUCCCCAUGGCUACCCUGUAUAUUUGCGGGCAACAGUUAUUAACAUCUAAUGCUUGAAAUUUAAUCUUGACCCAUAGUAGAAAGAAUCCAGCAACUUCAGGACCAACACAGGAUUGUAGAAAAACGAGGCAAGAAAAGAGGGUUGAGAACUGAUUCAGGCUUCACAUUAUGCAAUGCAAAAUGGAAGUUCAAUUGCACACCAAAACAAUAUCAAUAGCCGGCAAUAAAUGUAGGGUUUAUGAUUGUCCUGUAAUUUAUUGUCAAUGCCUUUUCCACUAUAAAAAUCCAAUCAAUGAAGAUGAUUAAACAGUCGUGAAUGUAAAUUUCUAAAUAAAAAAGAAAACGAUAAAAACAGUGGAUGGAUUAUUCAGUACAGAAAGAAUAGCAGUAUAGUCGUUACCCGGCGAGAUGUUCUAUCACAAACUGCAUGGUGCAUGAGAAGGCCUGCAGCAACUGAAACAUUGAGAAAGAGUCGACCAUGCCUUUCAUUGGAUUACUGCAAUGCAAAUCUGACAAAGCCAGGGCCUCAUCACUUAUUCCCCUAAAUUAGACACUGCAUUCAAAUUAAUAUCGAAGAAGAAC